CUAUGUAGCAAUACAGGGUGAUGGACUGCCUUUUGCAUAAUGAGCCUGCGAGUUGUGGUGUCUGGCAAGGUUAAGCAAACGCGAAGCCGUAGCGAAAGCGAGUCUGAAUAGGGCGCUUAGUCAGAUGCUGCAGACCCGAAACGAAGUGAUCUAUCCAUGAGCAAGUUGAAGCUAGUGUAAGAACUAGUGGAGGACUGAACCCAUAGGCGUUGAAAAGCCCCGGGAUGACUUGUGGAUAGGGGUGAAAGGCCAAUCAAACUUCGUGAUAGCUGGUUCUCUCCGAAAUAUAUUUAGGUAUAGCGUUGUGUCGUAAUAUAAGGGGGUAGAGCACUGAAUGGGCUAGGGCAUACACCAAUGUACCAAACCCUAUCAAACUCCGAAUACCUUAUAUGUAAUCACAGCAGUCAGGCGGCGAGUGAUAAAAUCCGUCGUCAAGAGGGAAACAACCCAGACUACCAGCUAAGGUCCCUAAAUCUUACUUAAGUGGAAAACGAUGUGAAGUUACUUAAACAACCAGGAGGUUGGCUUAGAAGCAGCCAUCCUUUAAAGAAAGCGUAAUAGCUCACUGGUCUAGUGAUUUUGCGCGGAAAAUAUAACGGGGCUAAAGUAAGUACCGAAGCUGUAGACUUGCGCACAACUUAGAUUAUUUAAGUUUAGAAUAUGAGAAACUAAGUUAUGUUUAGUUAUAUUUUUACUGAUUUUUAUAGAGUAAAGAUAGAAAUAAAACUUAGUAAAAUCAGUAAAAAUAUUCUUAGGCUAAAGUUAAGUAGUUUAAGUUGUGUGCAAGUGGUAGGAGAGCGUUCUAUUUGCGUCGAAGGUAUACCGGUAAGGAGUGCUGGAGCGAAUAGAAGUGAGCAUGCAGGCAUGAGUAGCGAUAAUUAAUGUGAGAAUCAUUAACGCCGUAAACCCAAGGUUUCCUACGCGAUGCUCGUCAUCGUAGGGUUAGUCGGGUCCUAAGUCGAGUCCGAAAGGGGUAGACGAUGGCAAAUUGGUUAAUAUUCCAAUACCAACAUUAGUGUGCGAUGGAAGGACGCUUAGGGCUAAGGGGGCUAGCGGAUGGAAGUGCUAGUCUAAGGUCGUAGGAGGUUAUACAGGCAAAUCCGUAUAACAAUACUCCGAGAACUGAAAGGCUUUUUGAAGUCUUCGGAUGGAUAGAAGAACCCCUGAUGCCGUCGAGCCAAGAAAAGUUUCUAAGUUUAGCUAAUGUUGCCCGUACCGUAAACCGACACAGGUGGGUGGGAUGAGUAUUCUAAGGCGCGUGGAAGAACUCUCUUUAAGGAACUCUGCAAAAUAGCACCGUAUCUUCGGUAUAAGGUGUGGUUAGCUUUGUAUUAGGAUUUACUCCGAAAGCAAGGAAACUUACAACAAAGAGUCCCUCCCGACUGUUUACCAAAAACACAGCACUCUGCUAACUCGUAAGAGGAUGUAUAGGGUGUGACGCCUGCCCGGUGCUCGAAGGUUAAUUGAUGGGGUUAGCAUUAGCGAAGCUCUUGAUCGAAGCCCGAGUAAACGGCGGCCGUAACUAUAACGGUCCUAAGGUAGCGAAAUUCCUUGUCGGUUAAAUACCGACCUGCAUGAAUGGCGUAACGAGAUGGGAGCUGUCUCAAAGAGGGAUCCAGUGAAAUUGUAGUGGAGGUGAAAAUUCCUCCUACCCGCGGCAAGACGGAAAGACCCCGUGGACCUUUACUACAGCUUGACACUGCUACUUGGAUAAGAAUGUGCAGGAUAGGUGGGAGGCUUUGAGUAUAUGACGCCAGUUGUAUAUGAGCCAUUGUUGAGAUACCACUCUUUCUUAUUUGGGUAGCUAACCAGCUUGAGUUAUCCUCAAGUGGGACAAUGUCUGGUGGGUAGUUUGACUGGGGCGGUCGCCUCCCAAAUAAUAACGGAGGCUUACAAAGGUUGGCUCAGAACGGUUGGAAAUCGUUCGUAGAGUAUAAAGGUAUAAGCCAGCUUAACUGCAAGACAUACAAGUCAAGCAGAGACGAAAGUCGGUCUUAGUGAUCCGGUGGUUCUGUGUGGAAGGGCCAUCGCUCAAAGGAUAAAAGGUACCCCGGGGAUAACAGGCUGAUCUCCCCCAAGAGCUCACAUCGACGGGGAGGUUUGGCACCUCGAUGUCGGCUCAUCGCAUCCUGGGGCUGGAGCAGGUCCCAAGGGUAUGGCUGUUCGCCAUUUAAAGCGGUACGCGAGCUGGGUUCAGAACGUCGUGAGACAGUUCGGUCCCUAUCUGCCGUGGGCGUAAGAAGAUUGAAGAGAUUUGACCCUAGUACGAGAGGACCGGGUUGAACAAACCACUGGUGUAGCUGUUGUUCUGCCAAGAGCAUCGCAGCGUAGCUAAGUUUGGAAAGGAUAAACGCUGAAAGCAUCUAAGCGUGAAGCCAACUCUAAGAUGAAUCUUCUCUAAGCUCUCUAGAAGACUACUAGUUUGAUAGGCUGGGUGUGUAAUGGAUGAAAGUCCUUUAGCUGACCAGUACUAAUAGAGCGUUUGGCUUAUCUUUAAUAAAGCAU
rnacentral:rRNA from 1 species